GAUGAACGCUGGCGGCGUGCCUAAUACAUGCAAGUCGAGCGAACGGACGAGAAGCUUGCUUCUCUGAUGUUAGCGGCGGACGGGUGAGCAACACGUGGAUAACCUACCUAUAAGACUGGGAUAACUUCGGGAAACCGGAGCUAAUACCGGAUAAUAUUUUGAACCGCAUGGUUCAAAAGUGAAAGACGGUCUUGCUGUCACUUAUAGAUGGAUCCGCGCUGCAUUAGCUAGUUGGUAAGGUAACGGCUUACCAAGGCAACGAUGCAUAGCCGACCUGAGAGGGUGAUCGGCCACACUGGAACUGAGACACGGUCCAGACUCCUACGGGAGGCAGCAGUAGGGAAUCUUCCGCAAUGGGCGAAAGCCUGACGGAGCAACGCCGCGUGAGUGAUGAAGGUCUUCGGAUCGUAAAACUCUGUUAUUAGGGAAGAACAUAUGUGUAAAUAACUGUGCACAUCUUGACGGUACCUAAUCAGAAAGCCACGGCUAACUACGUGCCAGCAGCCGCGGUAAUACGUAGGUGGCAAGCGUUAUCCGGAAUUAUUGGGCGUAAAGCGCGCGUAGGCGGUUUUUUAGUCUGAUGUGAAAGCCCACGGCUCAACCGUGGAGGGUCAUUGGAAACUGGAAAACUUGAGUGCAGAAGAGGAAAGUGGAAUUCCAUGUGUAGCGGUGAAAUGCGCAGAGAUAUGGAGGAACACCAGUGGCGAAGGCGACUUUCUGGUCUGUAACUGACGCUGAUGUGCGAAAGCGUGGGGAUCAAACAGGAUUAGAUACCCUGGUAGUCCACGCCGUAAACGAUGAGUGCUAAGUGUUAGGGGGUUUCCGCCCCUUAGUGCUGCAGCUAACGCAUUAAGCACUCCGCCUGGGGAGUACGACCGCAAGGUUGAAACUCAAAGGAAUUGACGGGGACCCGCACAAGCGGUGGAGCAUGUGGUUUAAUUCGAAGCAACGCGAAGAACCUUACCAAAUCUUGACAUCCUUUGACAACUCUAGAGAUAGAGCCUUCCCCUUCGGGGGACAAAGUGACAGGUGGUGCAUGGUUGUCGUCAGCUCGUGUCGUGAGAUGUUGGGUUAAGUCCCGCAACGAGCGCAACCCUUAAGCUUAGUUGCCAUCAUUAAGUUGGGCACUCUAAGUUGACUGCCGGUGACAAACCGGAGGAAGGUGGGGAUGACGUCAAAUCAUCAUGCCCCUUAUGAUUUGGGCUACACACGUGCUACAAUGGACAAUACAAAGGGCAGCGAAACCGCGAGGUCAAGCAAAUCCCAUAAAGUUGUUCUCAGUUCGGAUUGUAGUCUGCAACUCGACUACAUGAAGCUGGAAUCGCUAGUAAUCGUAGAUCAGCAUGCUACGGUAAAUACGUUCCCGGGUCU
rnacentral:rRNA from 1 species